GGCCGUGUGGCGAAAUGGCAUCGCGUCUGACUACGAUGUUUUUCCAGAUAGUCGGAAAUCAGGAGAUUGCAGGUUCGACCCCUGUCUCGGUCA